UUCUCUUUUGUUUCACCCUCUUUUAUUUUUAUUCUUCUGAAAUUCAUAGAAACAGAUAAAAAACAACAAUCAUCUCCAUAUCAGUCAGGCAGAAUGCAUGAACUAUAGGCUAAAUUUGUGUGUGUGUGUGUGUGUGUGUGUGUGUGUGUGUGUGUGUGUGUGUGUGUGUGUGUGUGUGUGUGUUUGUGUGUGUGUGUGUGUGCAAGCCAGUGUGGGUGUAUAGUGUAUAUACUUUUUUCCCCUCAUUCAUCCCACUGGCUUUGACAUCUUCAAAGGGCCUUGUGCCAAUACUUAUUCACAGCAAUCAUAUUUGGACUGAAUAAAGUAGUGGAGGUGUAUAAACAAAAUGAAGGAAUGUAAGCCUGAGUGAAUCUGUAUGUGAAGGGCUUUGCACUGAAUGUUCAAAUCCAGCAAUUUUGACAGACAAGGAGGACAAAUAAGAGAUUGUAAUGAACAUGAACUUUUAAGCUUCAUUUAUAAAAUGAAGAUCAUUCUAGGUCCAUGAUAUUUCUCUUAAAGGGUAAACGCUUUCAAGUACAGUUAAGUACAUAGACAUAACUGGACUAUUUUGCCCACAUAAAACCAAGCUACAUUCCUACAAAUUGAAAGCUGUCCAAUUAGAUAGAUAGAUAAUGGAUUAAAAAUGAUUGAUUCUAUUACACUGCACAAAAUCAUUUGUUUAAUGAGUAUUUUAGUCUUAAUUUCUUUCUUGGUCUUUUUUGUCUUGUUUCCAUAUCCAAACAAGAUAAAUGCACUUAACCAAAUUUGUAUUAAACAUUAAGGCAUAAUUAAGAUAUGAUAUCUGAAAACAUGAUCGUUGUUCUUACUCUAUUGGCAAACCCAUAAUUAAAAAAAAAAUCAUGAAUUUUUCAUUCAUUUCUCAUAAAACAAGAAAAGUACUAUUUGUCAAGGGGUCAAGGGCCCUCUAAAAAAAAAGCCUUAAUAUCUUAUGCAGUUUUACUUGUGUAUAUAUGCAAAAAAAGUAUGGAUUAAGAAAAUAAUUUUAUUUUAUUCCAUAUAGGGCCUGUCAAAAAAAAAAAAGUGCUAAACAAAAAGGAUGUUGCUGAUGUAUUUCAGUGCUAUUCUGAGAUCAGUGAAAGCUCUAUUUACAGCACUGUUCUGAGAUAAGACAGAGCUGUCUGAGUGCUUCACUGAGAUCAGCAACAGCUUAGAUCAGUAAAAGCUGCAGUUGGGUUGCUGGUCUGAGAAAUUUUAAAGGUGCCGUAGAAUGCAAAAAUCACUUUUAUAAGGUGUUCACUUUUAUAACACAGUUGUGUGGCCGCAGUGUGUGAAAACAACCAGCCUAUAAUGGUAAAAAUCCACCCACUCAUUGUUUUAUAAUCCUAAUAAAUCAUAAUCAGUCUCUCCACACUAGCAGUUCCAGAUUUCUCACUACUAUGAUGUCAUACUCGGGGAAAGUCACACCCAAUUUUGAUGCUCCCUGCCCUAUUAGCAUAUACACAGCCCUGAGUGAGAAGCAGCGGUCCGUUUUCUUGCUGUAGCUGCUGGAGAUACAAUGUCAGCGCCAAAGAGCCAUUAAAGUGUUGUGUGUUGGGAUACACCAACAAACAUAAGAGACUCCAUAGACCGCUGAGGACAAAUUGGUUAGAUUUAAUUUUCAAAGGAAAUAUCCCGGAAAAAAAAACAGAAAAGUCCUAUACGUUUGUGCUAACAUUUUAUGCUGGACUGCCUCACAAACGAGGGUCAGUUCAGCACUGGAGUUGUGCAAGGAUUGCUUCUGAAAGAGGGAUUGAUAGCAACACUUCGUGCACAAACUUCCAGCCUCCAGACAAAGUAAGCAUCAUGCCUCAUAUUUUGUUUUCCAAAAGAGCUUCUUGGCUCUCUGUAAGGCUAAUGUUGCUAAAUCUACCAUUGUCUCUGCUGGUUUCACUAAUGCUGCCUUCACGUGCUACCAGAAUGAUCGUAAAUAGGAAUGUGGUAGUUAGAAUUGCAUUUGGAAGCAAUGUGAGGUCAGUAACACGGUCACCACCAGUUAAACCGUAACACGUGCCCACGAGCAUGAGUUAUUGAAGCGCUGCAAUCUUCUGGAGGUGGGAGCACCAACUCAUUUUCAUUUAAAGGAUACAAACACAAAAACAGCACGUUUUGGCUCAUUCGCUAAAAGUGGUAAUUUCAACAAGCUAUAAAAAAUUAUUUGUGGGGUAUUUUGAGAUAAAACUUCACAUACAUACUCUGGGGAUAUCAGAGAACAAUUAAAAAUAUUUUGUAUCAAUGCAUUCUAUGGCACCUUUAAUUAAAUUGUUAAAGGGGUCAUAUGAUGUUGCUAAAAAGAACAUUAUUUUGUGUAUUUGGUGUAAUGAAAUGUGUUUAUGCGGUUUAUUUAAUUAUUUUCCAAAUACUGUACAUUAUUGUUUCUCCUCUAUGCCCCACCUUUCAGAAACGCGUCGAUUUUUACAAGUCUGAAAAGCGAGGUGCACUCUGAUUGGCCAGCUAUCCAAUGCGUUGUGAUCGGCCGAAUACCUCAAGCAUGUGACGUACGCUCCUUAGCAUACUGUGGUGCCGUGUUCAGUGUUGCCAAAUCCGCGGAAUUGGGCUACUUUAACACUGUUGCCGCUGGUUACUUUUCAUGUCAGCGGGUUGAAGCAACCCCAAUAACGUGAUAUUUAGCCCCUGAAAUGUGAAUUUUACUGGACGAUCCCCGUGUAAAACGUGUAUUUUACCCCCCGGAAUGCGAUUUUUUUACCAGGGAAUUGAAAUCCAAUUAGGAUAGUUUUGGGCUAGUUUUGAGUAGCAAAAGGAACAUUUGAAAUUGCAUCAUAUGACCCCUUUAAGAGAAUCUUAAAGAGCACUAACCUCAUAUUAGUCAGAAAUAGUGUGAAGUACUGGCUACUUCAUUAAGUAGGAUGAGUAAGAUCAGCUGUGAGAGGCUCUAGCACUGUAAAUAUAUUCAAUUCAAUUUAAGUUUAUUUGUAUAGCGCUUUUUACGAUACAAAACGCUGCAGUGAAAAUUUACAGAAAAUUAAGUUUCUACAAUAUUUAGUAGUAGCUUUUCAAUGGUGACUGUCAGUUUAUGUACAUAUGGCAGAAAUAAAAUCAAUUAAAGACGUAAUCAAACAGACGAUGAACACUAUUAACAGCAAUUAUAUGCUGUUAUAUU
ensembl:lncRNA